GACGAACGCUGGCGGCGUGCCUAAUACAUGCAAGUCGAGCGAAUGACGAGAAGCUUGCUUCUCUGAUUUAGCGGCGGACGGGUGUGUAACACGUGGGCAACCUGCCCUACAGAUCGGGAUAACUCAGGGAAACCUGGCUAAUACCGGAUAAUCCUUCGAAUCACAUGUUUUGAAGUUGAAAGGCGCUUCGGCGUCACUGUAGGAUGGGCCCGCGGUGCAUUAGCUAGUUGGUGGGGUAACGGCCUACCAAGGCAACGAUGCAUAGCCGACCUGAGAGGGUGACCGGCCACAUUGGGACUGAGACACGGCCCAAACUCAUACGGGAGGCAGCAGUAGGGAAUCUUCCACAAUGGACGAAAGGCUGAUGGGGCAACGCCGCGUGAGUGAUGAAGGUUUUCGGAUCGUAAAACUCUGUUGUAAGGGAAGAACAAGUACGUUAGGAAAUGAACGUACCUUGACGGUACCUUAUUAGAAAGCCACGGCUAACUACGUGCCAGCCGCCGCCGUAA
rnacentral:rRNA from 1 species